CACGUAGGCACCAAGCGUUGUUCGGAAUUACUGGGCGUAAAGGGCUCGUAGGCGGCCAACUAAGUCGGAUGUGAAAUCCCCAGGCUUAACCUGGGAACUGCAUCCGAUACUGGAUGGCUUGAAUCCGGGAGAGGGAUGCAGAAUUCCAGGUGUAGCGGUGAAAUGCGUAGAUAUCUGGAGGAAUACCGGUGGCGAAGGCGGCAUCCUGGACCGGCAUUGACGCUGAUGAGCGAAAGCUAGGGGAGCAAACGGG
rnacentral:rRNA from 1 species